GGGUUGUGAGGUUAAGCGACUAAGCGUACACGGUGGAUGCCCUGGCAGUCAGAGGCGAUGAAGGACGUGCUAAUCUGCGAAAAGCGACGGCGAGGUGAUAUGAACCUUUGACCCGUCGAUGUCCGAAUGGGGAAACCCAGUGUGUUUCGACACACUAUCGUUAACUGAAUACAUAGGUUAACGAGGCGAACCGGGGGAACUGAAACAUCUAAGUACCCCGAGGAAAAGAAAUCAACCGAGAUUCCCCCAGUAGCGGCGAGCGAACGGGGAGCAGCCCGGAGUCUGAAUCAGCUUGUGUGUUAGUGGAAGCGUCUGGAAAGUCGCACGGUACAGGGUGACAGUCCCGUACACGAAAAUGCACAGGUUGUGAACUCGAAGAGUAGGGCGGGACACGUGGUAUCCUGUCUGAAUAUGGGGGGACCAUCCUCCAAGGCUAAAUACUCCUGACUGACCGAUAGUGAACCAGUACCGUGAGGGAAAGGCGAAAAGAACCCCGGCGAGGGGAGUGAAAAAGAACCUGAAACCGUGUACGUACAAGCAGUGGGAGCACCUUCGUGGUGUGACUGCGUACCUUUUGUAUAAUGGGUCAGCGACUUAUAUUCUGUAGCAAGGUUAACCGUAUAGGGGAGCCGCAGGGAAACCGAGUCUUAACUGGGCGUUAAGUUGCAGGGUAUAGACCCGAAACCCGGUGAUCUAGCCAUGGGCAGGUUGAAGGUUGGGUAACACUAACUGGAGGACCGAACCGACUAAUGUUGAAAAAUUAGCGGAUGACCUGUGGCUGGGGGUGAAAGGCCAAUCAAACCGGGAGAUAGCUGGUUCUCCCCGAAAGCUAUUUAGGUAGCGCCUCGUGAACUCAUCUUCGGGGGUAGAGCACUGUUUCGGCUAGGGGGCCAUCCCGGCUUACCAACCCGAUGCAAACUACGAAUACCGAAGAAUGUUAUCACGGGAGACACACGGCGGGUGCUAACGUCCGUCGUGAAGAGGGAAACAACCCAGACCGCCAGCUAAGGUCCCAAAGUCAUGGUUAAGUGGGAAACGAUGUGGGAAGGCACAGACAGCCAGGAUGUUGGCUUAGAAGCAGCCAUCAUUUAAAGAAAGCGUAAUAGCUCACUGGUCGAGUCGGCCUGCGCGGAAGAUGUAACGGGGCUAAACCAUGCACCGAAGCUGCGGCAGCGACACUAUGUGUUGUUGGGUAGGGGAGCGUUCUGUAAGCCGUUGAAGGUGUGCUGUGAGGCAUGCUGGAGGUAUCAGAAGUGCGAAUGCUGACAUAAGUAACGAUAAAGCGGGUGAAAAGCCCGCUCGCCGGAAGACCAAGGGUUCCUGUCCAACGUUAAUCGGGGCAGGGUGAGUCGACCCCUAAGGCGAGGCCGAAAGGCGUAGUCGAUGGGAAACAGGUUAAUAUUCCUGUACUUGGUGUUACUGCGAAGGGGGGACGGAGAAGGCUAUGUCAGCCGGGCGACGGUUGUCCCGGUUUAAGCGUGUAGGUGUGUGUUCCAGGCAAAUCCGGUUCACUUUAACACUGAGGCGUGAUGACGAGGCACUACGGUGCUGAAGUGAUAAAUGCCCUGCUUCCAGGAAAAGCCUCUAAGCAUCAGGUAACACGAAAUCGUACCCCAAACCGACACAGGUGGUCAGGUAGAGAAUACCAAGGCGCUUGAGAGAACUCGGGUGAAGGAACUAGGCAAAAUGGUGCCGUAACUUCGGGAGAAGGCACGCUGAUAUGUAGGUGAAGUCCCUGCGGACGGAGCUGAAAUCAGUCGAAGAUACCAGCUGGCUGCAACUGUUUAUUAAAAACACAGCACUGUGCAAACACGAAAGUGGACGUAUACGGUGUGACGCCUGCCCGGUGCCGGAAGGUUAAUUGAUGGGGUUAGCGGCAACGCGAAGCUCUUGAUCGAAGCCCCGGUAAACGGCGGCCGUAACUAUAACGGUCCUAAGGUAGCGAAAUUCCUUGUCGGGUAAGUUCCGACCUGCACGAAUGGCGUAAUGAUGGCCAGGCUGUCUCCACCCGAGACUCAGUGAAAUUGAACUCGCUGUGAAGAUGCAGUGUACCCGCGGCACGACGGAAAGACCCCGUGAACCUUUACUAUAGCUUGACACUGAACACUGGUCCUUGAUGUGUAGGAUAGGUGGGAGGCUUUGAAGCGUGGACGCCAGUCUGCGUGGAGCCGUACUUGAAAUACCACCCUUUAAUGGCUGGUGUUCUAACGUGGACCCGUAAUCCGGGUUGCGGACAGUGUCUGGUGGGUAGUUUGACUGGGGCGGUCUCCUCCCAAAGAGUAACGGAGGAGCACGAAGGUUAGCUAAUCCUGGUCGGACAUCAGGAGGUUAGUGCAAUGGCAUAAGCUAGCUUGACUGCGAGAGUGACGGCUCGAGCAGGUGCGAAAGCAGGUCAUAGUGAUCCGGUGGUUCUGAAUGGAAGGGCCAUCGCUCAACGGAUAAAAGGUACUCCGGGGAUAACAGGCUGAUACCGCCCAAGAGUUCAUAUCGACGGCGGUGUUUGGCACCUCGAUGUCGGCUCAUCACAUCCUGGGGCUGAAGUAGGUCCCAAGGGUAUGGCUGUUCGCCAUUUAAAGUGGUACGCGAGCUGGGUUUAGAACGUCGUGAGACAGUUCGGUCCCUAUCUGCCGUGGGCGCUGGAGAAUUGAGGGGGGCUGCUCCUAGUACGAGAGGACCGGAGUGGACGCAUCACUGGUGUUCGGGUUGUCAUGCCAAUGGCACUGCCCGGUAGCUAAAUGCGGAAGAGAUAAGUGCUGAAAGCAUCUAAGCACGAAACUUGCCCCGAGAUGAGUUCUCCCUGAGACUUUAAGUCUCCUGAAGGAACGUUGAAGACGACGACGUUGAUAGGCCGGGUGUGUAAGCGCAGCGAUGCGUUGAGCUAACCGGUACUAAUGAACCGUGAGGCUUAACCUUACAACGCCGAAGCUGUU
rnacentral:rRNA from 1 species